GACGAACGCUGGCGGCGUGCUUAACACAUGCAAGUCGAACGGAAAGGCCCUGCUUUUGUGGGGUGCUCGAGUGGCGAACGGGUGAGUAACACGUGAGUAACCUGCCCUGGACUUUGGGAUAACUUCAGGGAACUGGGGCUAAUACCGGAUAGGAGCUCCUGCUGCAUGGUGGGGGUUGGAAAGUUUCGGCGGUUGGGGAUGGACUCGCGGCUUAUCAGCUUGUUGGUGGGGUAGUGGCUUACCAAGGCUUUGACGGGUAGCCGGCCUGAGAGGGUGACCGGCCACAUUGGGACUGAGAUACGGCCCAGACUCCUACGGGAGGCAGCAGUGGGGAAUAUUGCACAAUGGGCGGAAGCCUGAUGCAGCAACGCCGCGUGCGGGAUGACGGCCUUCGGGUUGUAAACCGCUUUCGCCUGUGACGAAGCGUGAGUGACGGUAAUGGGUAAAGAAGCACCGGCUAACUACGUG
rnacentral:rRNA from 1 species